rnacentral:rRNA from 1 species
AGCGGCAGACGGGUGAGUAACACGUGGGUAACCUGCCCAAGAGACUGGGAUAACACCUGGAAACAGAUACUAAUACCGGAUAACAACACUAGACGCAUGUCUAGAGUUUGAAAGAUGGUUCUGCUAUCACUCUUGGAUGGACCUGCGGUGCAUUAGCUAGUUGGUAAGGUAACGGCUUACCAAGGCAAUGAUGCAUAGCCGAGUUGAGAGACUGAUCGGCCACAUUGGGACUGAGACACGGCCCAAACUCCUACGGGAGGCAGCAGUAGGGAAUCUUCCACAAUGGACGAAAGUCUGAUGGAGCAACGCCGCGUGAGUGAAGAAGGGUUUCGGCUCGUAAAGCUCUGUUGGUAGUGAAGAAAGAUAGAGGUAGUAACUGGCCUUUAUUUGACGGUAAUUACUUAGAAAGUCACGGCUAACUACGUGCCAGCAGCCGCGGUAAUACGUAGGUGGCAAGCGUUGUCCGGAUUUAUUGGGCGUAAAGCGAGUGCAGGCGGUUCAAUAAGUCUGAUGUGAAAGCCUUCGGCUCAACCGGAGAAUUGCAUCAGAAACUGUUGAACUUGAGUGCAGAAGAGGAGAGUGGAACUCCAUGUGUAGCGGUGGAAUGCGUAGAUAUAUGGAAGAACACCAGUGGCGAAGGCGGCUCUCUGGUCUGCAACUGACGCUGAGGCUCGAAAGCAUGGGUAGCGAACAGGAUUAGAUACCCUGGUAGUCCAUGCCGUAAACGAUGAGUGCUAAGUGU